UACGUAGGGUGCGAGCGUUGUCCGGAAUUAUUGGGCGUAAAGAGCUUGUAGGCGGUUUGUCGCGUCUGCUGUGAAAAUCCGGGGCUCAACCCCGGACUUGCAGUGGGUACGGGCAGACUAGAGUGUGGUAGGGGAGACUGGAAUUCCUGGAUGUAGCGGUGAAAUGCGCAGAUAUCAGGAGGAACACCGAUGGCGAAGGCAGGUCUCUGGGCCACUACUGACGCUGAGAAGCGAAAGCAUGGGGAGCGAACAGG
rnacentral:rRNA from 1 species